GACGAACGCUGGCGGCGUGCUUAACACAUGCAAGUCGAACGGAAAGGCCCUGCUUUUGUGGGGUGCUCGAGUGGCGAACGGGUGAGUAACACGUGAGUAACCUGCCCUUGACUUUGGGAUAACUUCAGGAAACUGGGGCUAAUACCGGAUAGGAGCUCCUGCUGCAUGGUGGGGGUUGGAAAGUUUCGGCGGUUGGGGAUGGACUCGCGGCUUAUCAGCUUGUUGGUGGGGUAGUGGCUUACCAAGGCUUUGACGGGUAGCCGGCCUGAGAGGGUGACCGGCCACAUUGGGACUGAGAUGCGGCCCAGACUCCUACGGGAGGCAGCAGUGGGGAAUAUUGCACAAUGGGCAGAAGCCUGAUGCAGCAACGCCGCGUGCGGGAUGACGGCCUUCGGGUUGUAAACCGCUUUCGCCUGUGACGAAGCGUGAGUGGCGGUAAUGGGUAAAGAAGCACCGGCUAACUACGUG
rnacentral:rRNA from 1 species